UGCGUAGGGGGCGAGCGUUAUCCGGAUUCACUGGGUGUAAAGGGGGCGCAGACGGCGAUGCAAGCCAGGAGUGAAAGCCCGGGGCCCAACCCCGGGACUGCUCUUGGAACUGCGUGGCUGGAGUGCAGGAGGGGCAGGCGGAAUUCCUGGUGUAGCGGUGAAAUGCGUAGAUAUCAGGAGGAACACCGGUGGCGAAGGCGGCCUGCUGGACUGCAACUGACGUUGAGGCCCGAAAGCGUGGGGAGCAAACAGG
rnacentral:rRNA from 1 species